CGUCGCAACUGCGCUGACCUUUGCGGCCCUGAAAGUGCGCCUGGCGCGGGCACGGUGACACCGGCUCGGACUUCACGCCUCGCGCGGGCCACGCUGUCCUUCUCCCGGGCCCCAAGGCCAGCUCUACCUGCGCUCAGUGGAAUAACCUGUCUACGCCUGCAACAGCCAGACUGGAGCGAUGGUCUCCACGGCCUCCCUUUUCCUCCCCUCGCAAGUCUUCAGGAGAAAGGUCUGAUUCUCAGAGUCGAUGGGACGAAAGGACUGCGAGACCCGUGCCCAGCCUGAGACCGUGUGCACUCAGGUCUUUCUCCAUCUUCGCCUCCUGCUCUGUGCCUGGGGAGCUUGAGCCCAGCCAGCUUUAUUUUCAGACUUCUCUGCUUGAAAUGUAGCCAGCAAGACUCGGCUGUGGAAAACCUUCGUGAAGGUCUAGUGGGACAAUGGAGGAAGAGGAAGGACCCAGGAUGCUCCGUUCUCUUCCUAUUUCAAUGGAGUUUCCUACAGAGGCUGCAUCUCCUGUGUGUCCCCCACCCAUUCCUUUUGUUGUGGGGUGCCCUGUUCAUGGGCUCCAGUGAUACCACCUCCUCCAUUUGUCUUUCAGUCUGGAGGUGACAGUACUCAUCUCUGGUCACCUGACUGUCACCAUUAUGUUGGAUCUCAUCUUUGUUACCACCUUUGUAGCCUAUUCUUACAUUAAAUUCCUUCUGUAAUAAA